rnacentral:tRNA from 2 species
GGUAGGAUGGCUGAGAAUUAAGCGGUGGAUUGUAGCCCCACAUACAGAGGUUUGAGUCCUCUUUCUACCA